UUUCUCUUUGUUGCACUGCUGCAAUAAAGAUCUUUUGGUUGCUCCGAGUGUUGUGGUCACUUUCCUUUCAUUUGGCUUCACUGGAUUACUCCCAAUUAACAGGCUUAUUUGGGACUCCAACUAAAGCAACACUUAAUAUGCAUCUAAUGAUGAAGAAAGAAAAUUCCUGGCCCUGGAGCAGAGAAUUAUCAAUGAUGGAUUUCAUUCUGGAAGAUUGGCUAUUUUGUAUUCACAUAUUUCCAAAAAGCCUGUGGAGGCUUAAAAGCUUCUGGAUUUCUGUCAAGGCAUGCCUAUCAAAACAGAUCAAAUAUCAAAAUUAAAGUUAAAUCACAUUAGAUUAAAUUUAAAUACUGCAAAGGAAAUUAAUUUUUUUGUAAGACAAUUGAGUUCUUUAAAAAUGGGUAAU